ensembl:lncRNA
CAUAUAGAAUUAUAACUGUGGAUGUCGUUUAGUGUUUGGUUUCUCUUGUUUCUCGGUGCCACUUCUCCUCUCCUUCUUUACUCUGAGUCUAUCCAAGUAACCCAUUUUAAUAACUAGUUUUAUAAUCCUUCAUCAUUUCCUUCCUUUAGCUCGUUUCCAAUUGUUAACUGUGUUAUGUGAUCAUCCUUAUGUGAGCAAAAUGCAUCUCCAUGGGAGCAUUUCUCUGAGAAAACUGUUUCUGCUUCAUUAUAGAUAAGCUAGCUUAUCCAGGUCACGAAGUUCAGAGAGUUCUAGCUCUUCCCAGGUUUGCCCAGGAUUAAAACUCGGAAUACAGAAUUGACCAUUGACACUUUGAGCGAGGUCACAUGGAGCAAACCAACUAAUGAGACCCAUCAGUGGGAGGUGAUGCUGUUUGGGCUUGGGCUGGAAAUCAUGCUCGCUCUAGGGAGGUCAUUGUGACUGGUCAGAGAAUGCUCUGUCACACACGAUGCAUUGUGCUGGCUGGGGUGGGGUCUCCUUUAGACCUGUUUAUCCAUGAGGGAGAGUUCUUAUGUAUCCAACUGUCUUAUUUUGAGUUAAAAGCUUUGCCAGAGAGGAUUUACUCCAUUUUUCUUUCAGCUGAGCACAGCCAUGCUCUUGUCCCUGGUGAGGAAUGAUAAUGAUAAUGAUACUGAGCGUGAUCUGAGAGCAACAGGGACCGCUUGCUGAACACUAGGUGCUCUCCUCUGCACUAACUUCUUUAAGCAGCCUUUCUCUUCACCCUUGUCACAACCCACAGCCCCAUGAGCUAUGGAUAACCAUAUCUCCACUUUACAAGUGGGGAAACAGGAUCAGAGAGGUAAAGUCACUUGCAGGUGGCCACCAGGCUAGUGAGGGGUGGAGCCGAGACUCGAAUCUAGGGCUUCAGUUCUUCUGAACCCAAGCCACUGUCAUUCUGUGCUUCUGCUUCUCUUGAUGCCUGACUUUGAGUUCAGUUCAAAAGCUACUCACUGUGCCCUUCCUGUGGGUCUACAGGGACUGUUGCCAGCACUGCAGAAUCAGAGAUGACCAAGACAUGGGCUUUGCAUGGAGAAACUUACAGACAAAUAGAGGAGGUAGACAUGUAAAUCAUUUUACUGUAACGUAACUAUGUCGCGCUAGGAUGUAAGCUCCAGGAGAAGAGGCCUUUUCUUUUGUCUGUUUCAUUCCAAAGCACUUAAAAUAGCACUUGGAACAUAGUAGGGACUCAAAUGCAUGUAUGGACAUAUCAUGGAGGGAGACGCUUUUUGCCUUGUCUGUGGUUUUCAUGUGUGCUCUCACUCUGAACCCUACUCCUGACCCCUGAUCCCUGGAUAGCCUUGCCCACCAGCUUCUGGCACACUGUACUGCCCUUCCGUUGCACAAAUGCUUUAUGAAACACAUGCAGUGUUCCAGGUAUGGCUUUGGCAUUAGGGACAUAAAGAUGGACAGGCUAGGCACAGGUUCUGUCCUUAUGGAGGAAUACUCAUACUCAGACAAUCCGAAUUCAUCUCAGCUCCUCCCUCACACAUGAUCCUCUGCCAACCGCCACCCCCCCCACCCCAGCCCCCAUCGCUGUGUCAUUAGCAGGACUGAGUCUCAUGGCAGAGAAGACCUACAUGCCACAAGUCUGACUUGAUCAGAUGCUGUACCCAAUGACUUUCUCUGUAAAGACCUCCUGCCACAGAUUCUCACAUGAAGUCUACUUCUUUAUUCAUCUCAUUAUCCACGGAGGAAAGAAGUAGAUCAAAAUAAACUCAUUGACCAUUGAGAAGAUUGUUAACAGGUAUGAGUCUCUACUAUGUGCCAGGCAAUAUUCUGGGCAUUUCCUCCUUCAUUUAAUUUACAAAGUCACCUUGAGAAUAAAGUGAUAUUUUCUCUGUUUUUCCAGAUAAGGCCCAGUGAGCUUAGCAGGGUGUCCAGACUCAGAGGAGC